rnacentral:siRNA from 1 species
CGAGAUGGUAUAUGACUGGUGAA